ensembl:miRNA
GAUACUUGGAGAGAGGCUGGCCGUGAUGAAUUCGAUUCAUCUAAACGAGUCAUACACGGCUCUCCUCUCUUCUAGUGUC